rnacentral:rRNA from 1 species
GGGACACGUGGUAUCCUGUCUGAAUAUGGGGGGACCAUCCUCCAAGGCUAAAUACUCCUGACUGACCGAUAGUGAACCAGUACCGUGAGGGAAAGGCGAAAAGAACCCCGGCGAGGGGAGUGAAAAAGAACCUGAAACCGUGUACGUACAAGCAGUGGGAGCACCUUCGGGUGUGACUGCGUACCUUUUGUAUAAUGGGUCAGCGACUUAUAUUCUGUAGCAAGGUUAACCGUAUAGGGGAGCCGAAGGGAAACCGAGUCUUAACUGGGCGUUAAGUUGCAGGGUAUAGACCCGAAACCCGGUGAUCUAGCCAUGGGCAGGUUGAAGGUUGGGUAACACUAACUGGAGGACCGAACCGACUAAUGUUGAAAAAUUAGCGGAUGACCUGUGGCUGGGGGUGAAAGGCCAAUCAAACCGGGAGAUAGCUGGUUCUCCCCGAAAGCUAUUUAGGUAGCGCCUCGUGAACUCAUCUUCGGGGGUAGAGCACUGUUUCGGCUAGGGGGCCAUCCCGGCUUACCAACCCGAUGCAAACUACGAAUACCGAAGAAUGUUAUCACGGGAGACACACGGCGGGUGCUAACGUCCGUCGUGAAGAGGGAAACAACCCAGACCGCCAGCUAAGGUCCCAAAGUCAUGGUUAAGUGGGAAACGAUGUGGGAAGGCACAGACAGCCAGGAUGUUGGCUUAGAAGCAGCCAUCAUUUAAAGAAAGCGUAAUAGCUCACUGGUCGAGUCGGCCUGCGCGGAAGAUGUAACGGGGCUAAACCAUGCACCGAAGCUGCGGCAGCGACGCUUAUGCGUUGUUGGGUAGGGGAGCGUUCUGUAAGCCGUUGAAGGUGUGCUGUGAGGCAUGCUGGAGGUAUCAGAAGUGCGAAUGCUGACAUAAGUAACGAUAAAGCGGGUGAAAAGCCCGCUCGCCGGAAGACCAAGGGUUCCUGUCCAACGUUAAUCGGGGCAGGGUGAGUCGACCCCUAAGGCGAGGCCGAAAGGCGUAGUCGAUGGGAAACAGGUUAAUAUUCCUGUACUUGGUGUUACUGCGAAGGGGGGACGGAGAAGGCUAUGUCAGCCGGGCGACGGUUGUCCCGGUUUAAGCAUGUAGGCGGAGGUUCCAGGUAAAUCCGGUACCUUAUUAACGCUGAGGUGUGAUGACGAGGCACUACGGUGCUGAAGUGAUAAAUGCCCUGCUUCCAGGAAAAGCCUCUAAGCAUCAGGUAACACGAAAUCGUACCCCAAACCGACACAGGUGGUCAGGUAGAGAAUACCAAGGCGCUUGAGAGAACUCGGGUGAAGGAACUAGGCAAAAUGGUGCCGUAACUUCGGGAGAAGGCACGCUGAUAUGUAGGUGAAGCCCCUGCGG